rnacentral:rRNA from 1 species
AUUGAACGCUGGCGGCAGGCCUAACACAUGCAAGUCGAGCGUGCGGCGGACGGGUGAGUAAUGUCUGGGAAACUGCCUGAUGGAGGGGGAUAACUACUGGAAACGGUAGCUAAUACCGCAUACCAUCAGAUGUGCCCAGGUGGGAUUGGCUGGUAGGGGGGGUAACGGCUCACCUGGGCGACGAUCCCUAGACGGUCUGAGAGGAUGACCAGCCACACUGGAACUGAGACACGGUCCAGACUCCACGGGGAGGCAGCAGUGGGGAAUAUUGGAAAAGGGGCGCAAGCCUGAUGCAGCCAUGCCGCGUGUGUGAAGAAGGCCUUCGGGUUGUAAAGCACUUUAAGCGGGGAGGCGUUACCCGUAGAGGAAGCACCGGCUAACUCCGUGCCAGCAGCCGCGGUAAUAC